AUUGACACAAAAGACAACCCAAAAAUAGUUGCAUUCAAUUUCUCAAUUUCAAUUAUCAUAGAUUUAUGGAUGUCGUUUAGAAUAUGAGUUUUGUUAUUAUACGACUACUAUUAUAUUAUGUAAUGGAAAUAAGUUCUAGGAAGGAUCUGGAAUAUGAUUUCAAUGAAUGGGAAUCAGAACUCAAGAGUGGCGCCCAAAUGAAAUUUUGUCCUUUGUGGGGAAGGUACCAAAAAGAGUGGAGCGAUAUAUCCCAUCAUCAAACCAGGCCUUGGGUUAAUAAAAAUAUUGUGAUGUGUGUAAUUUGAAAAGAAUCGGAUACUUAUUUCGGAUUUUA